UACGAAGGGGGCUAGCGUUGCUCGGAAUCACUGGGCGUAAAGCGCACGUAGGCGGCUUCUUAAGUCAGGGGUGAAAUCCUGGAGCUCAACUCCAGAACUGCCUUUGAUACUGAGAAGCUUGAGUCCGGGAGAGGUGAGUGGAACUGCGAGUGUAGAGGUGAAAUUCGUAGAUAUUCGCAAGAACACCAGUGGCGAAGGCGGCUCACUGGCCCGGUACUGACGCUGAGGUGCGAAAGCGUGGGAGCAAACAGG
rnacentral:rRNA from 1 species